rnacentral:rRNA from 1 species
UACGGGGGGGGCAAGCGUUGUUCGGAAUUACUAGGCGUAAAGGGCUCGUAGGUGGCCAACUAAGUCAUACGUGAAAUCCCUCAGCUUAACUGGGGAACUGCGUCUGAUACUGGAUGGCUUGAGUUUGGGAGAGGGAUGCGGAAUUCCAGGUGUAGCGGUGAAAUGCGUAGAUAUCUGGAGGAACACCGGUGGCGAAGGCGGCAUCCUGGACCAAUACUGACACUGAGGAGCGAAAGCCAGGGGAGCAAACGGG